UUUGACGUCGCGUUUUAGGACGCGCCGGCGAAGCGGCGGCGGCGAAAAGGCUGGCGAGAGAGCCAGCCGCGACGACGGUGCCGACUCUCAAAAGAGAUCAACCGUUGAAACGGCUAGCGGCGGCGGAGAGGUGGGAGGCGCGGGAGGGAAGGCGCGACGAGAAAUAAAAGGCGCGAACCAACGGUUAUGGAAAUAGUCGCCUACAAGUGGGAGCCCGCGUCGCUUUUCGUUGUGUCCGGCGUGCCCGGAGCGUCCCCUGUCUAGCGGGGAUGGGCUCGGGAGCCAAACACCAUAUUGGGCUGCGCCGGACAAAAAAAAGGCUUUGGGGCACGCAGAUGGGAACGUUUUUUUAUCGCACCCCAAAUCCAUUUGGAGGACGCUUUAGGGGAUGCGGCUGAAGAUGCUCUAAUUAUUAUAUAUAAAGGACAGCUGAUUUCAAGCCCUUUCCUUAAUUUCGCCACUGUUCAUGGCUUGAUUUUCGUUCUCCCUGUCCAUACAUACCAUGACACGUAUCCUGUUUGCCGAUCUCCUUCUCAUGUGCUGGUAAUCGCUUUUUUUUCAAAGAUUUUGGUGACCGGCUACCGGUAUGUGCAGGUUUGGUGAUCUAUAUGGUGGAGAUCUCCGGUCUCCCGUAAUUUUUGGCCACGAAAAUCUCGAACAUUCGGUCAAAGCGGUAGUCGUAGGUGAAUAAAGCGGUGGCAAUUAAUCUGCACAACCGUUUUGCCCUCACUCCCUAUUUUUCUCUCUCAUCUGUUCUCUUCCUCCCAUUACCGCCGGCCAUAUCCUCCUGCUAGGUCCGGCGACCCGUACCGCCAUUCUGCCUACCGAGGCAGCUAUCAGGUGCACGCCUUCCUCUCUCUCUCCCAAGGAAGCUGAUGGUUUGGAGGAGAAGCUCAGCAGGCCUGCUCUCUUUUCUUAUAGGACUUCUUCCCCAAUUCCAGGGCAAGCGGCAAUACCGGCGUCUGGCCCUGGACGCGUCCUGGCUCCGUCGCGACCGGAAGCGGCCGCGUCAACGGGAUGCGGUGCAGGAUCGUGAAGGAAAAAAUCCGCUGGGUCGUUCUACGUUCUCCUAUCCCCUUCCUUAUUUUGCGUCUAAUCUUAUCUUCUUUCUACAGCGAUGGUGGCGGCUGCCGGCGGAGGAUUCAAGGUAGCGGGGGAGGACAUGCAUCCGUCGAGGAAAAAAAGAGGCAACGUCUGAACCAGGGGAGGAGAAUAGCAGAAGAACGUGACUAGGAAUCGGAGUGGCUGCACGCCGGCGAGCAGCAGAAUGAUAGACUAUGCACCGGCUCUGUACACUUCUUCUUCCCAGUAUGAGGAGGACGACCUGGAGCCUACCUUGCCUUGGAUGUGUUCAGCUUUCAGAUCAUCAAACACUCUAAGGUUCCCAUGUUCUUUUAUUUUCUCAUCCGGAUACACGGUACAGGUUUUGCUGCAAAUUGACAAUGUGUGUCCAAUAUAUUUUCUUUAUUUCUUCAUAGUUUCUUCUAUGAAUUGCAGAUCAGAUCCUCCUUAGUUUAUAGUUUACCCUUUCAUGAUUUCAUCCCAUUUCCCUCCUACCACUAGCUACAGAAGGCAGAAGUCAACCCUAUAAGAGUAUACUGAGCUAUGACGAGAAAAUGGUGCUGCAAUUGUUGGGCUAGCUUACCUCAUGAAUUGCUUUGGAAUUUGAUUGAAUUGUUGAACUUUGACGGUGUGCUUUGGUUGGUUAUUUUGCACCCUUUGAUAUAAAUGCUGCUGUGACACAGACUUCAGAUUCUACACUGAACGGUGAUAUGCUCUCAGUCCAACUAAGAAACUAAUGCAUUUCGUAUUCAUAAAUUCAGGUGUUCUGCAGAUUUAAGAGUAGUUUGGCUACAUGGGACAGUGGGUUCACAUUGUUGUAAUUAUUUCAGUUUGAGUAUGCAGUUCCACUCACAGGCAAGCAGCCAAGAAUCCGACUAUUGUUCUGUUGGACGCACUUGGUUGCUUCCUCUCCAUCAGCGUCAUCCGUUUUAGAGGUCAGAUACUCAUUUUUUAGAUUGGAGAAAGGCAAGAACCCAAACACAUGAAAGCAUAGAACCAAUAUGUGGAUAACUCAUUUGUGUAAGAUUAAUGGAUUUCUGAGAAAUCGGUUGUUGGUUUCUUGCUCUUUCUCAUCUAACAAUAAUUUUCAGGUCACUGAUCACAACUUUUUAAGUUAGUCACUCUGAUUUGACACUGCGGCGGCGGUGUUGUUGAGAGAGCCUUGCUAUGUAGGGAGGCAUUAUUUACCGUGGACUAAAGAUGGUUGGUGGGAUAAAGGAAAACACAAGUGAUGCAUUAUCUAUGGGGGCAGACAUUCAUCCUACAUCAUUGAGUUACUAUAUUUCAGAGCAUGUAUGCAGUGGAAGAAGAGCACAUCCUUCGAAUCUGAUUUUGGGUAGCUUGAUCUAUCAAGAGAAUAAUAGAAUGACAAGGUAACUGGACAGAAAAUGCCCUUCUACAGUUCCCCGAUCAACCCAAGAGCGUUAAACCGUUCUGACAGUGCCCCGUCCAGUUAAGAUGCAUCUACAAUAGAGUAUAAUCGCAGAACUAUAAAAUUUAUUCUGAAAAGAAUGUUGUACUAACAAUUUCAGUUCUGAUGUGCUUUGGUCUAUUUGGUGUGGUUGAGAAACGAAUUCAACUUUCAGAAAAUAAGCUGGACAAGCAUUGAUAUAAUCUGGAACAAGGUGGUGGCAGAUGCUAGAAGAUGAGCGAUGCUUGCAAUCAUUCUCACACUUCAGUGCUCGACAUGAACCUGAACCUGCUACUGGUAGCAGAAACAAUGUGCGAAUUAUUGUGAAUUGUGCCUACAUAUGAACUAUGCAAGUCUCAUGAAGAUGUUGGAGCGAUCCCCUCUUAUAAAUUAACUUUUCAGCUGGUUUUUCUUAAAUCUCAUGUGUGUGUUUCGCUUGAUGGGUCAGAUUUAAUAUCAUUUCUGUUUUUUUCUUGAUGGUUGAGAUUUAGAUUUGUAACUGAAUGUUGUGUGAGAUCUAUUCUGGUUACAUAUCAAUGGAACCUGGGGCGACCUCUAUUCUAGAAACACUGCUGGCGAAGA